rnacentral:rRNA from 1 species
GACCGAAAAAGAGUAGGGAAGCUGUUAAGCAAGCCGUCAAGAAAAGCUGCUAUUGUUUCAUUAUGGCCCGUACCGUAAACCGACACAGGUGGAUGGGGAGAGAAUCCUAAGGCCGGCGGAAGAAGUAUUGUUAAGGAACUCGGCAAAAUGACCCCGUAACUUCGGGAGAAGGGGUGCCUGCGAGAGCAGGCCGCAGAGAAGAGGCCCAAGCAACUGUUUAGCAAAAACACAGGUCUAUGCAAAACCGAAAGGUGAGGUAUAUGGGCUGACGCCUGCCCGGUGCUGGAAGGUUAAGGGGAGUGGUCAGGAAACGAAGCCACGAACUUAAGCCCCAGUAAACGGCGGCCGUAACAAUAACGGUCCUAAGGUAGCGAAAUUCCUUGUCGGGUAAGUUCCGACCCGCACGAAAGGCGUAAUGAUUUGGGCGCUGUCUCGACAAUACAUCCGGUGAAAUUGAAGUGCCAGUGAAGAUGCUGGCUACCUGCGCCAGGACGGAAAGACCCCAUGGAGCUUUACUCCAGCUUGAUACUGGGACCCGGUAUUGCAUGUACAGGAUAGGUGGGAGGCUAGGAAAUGUGGACGCCAGUCUGCAUGGAGCCGCUGUUGGGAUACCACCCUUGUGGUGCUGGGUUUCUAACCAGAGGCCGUGAACCGGUCUGGGGACAAUGUCAGGUGGGGAGUUUGACUGGGGCGGUCGCCUCCGAAAGGGUAUCGGAGGCGCCCAAAGGUUCCCUCAGAAUGGUUGGAAACCAUUCGAAGAGUGCAAAGGCAGAAGGGAGCUUGACUGCGACACCGACGGGUGGAGCAGGUACGAAAGUAGGGCUUAGUGAUCCGGUGGAAUUUAAGUGGGAAUGCCAUCGCUCAACGGAUAAAAGCUACCCUGGGAUAACAGGCUGAUCACUCCCAAGAGUUCACAUCGACGGAGUGGUUUGGCACCUCGAUGUCGGCUCAUCGCAUCCUGGGGCUGAAGUCGGUCCCAAGGGUUGGGCUGUUCGCCCAUUAAAGCGGUACGCGAGCUGGGUUCAGAACGUCGUGAGACAGUUCGGUCCCUAUCCGGCGUGGGCGUAGGAUAUCUGAGAGGAGCUGUCCUUAGUACGAGAGGACCGGGAUGGACUGACCUCUGGUGUACCGGUUGGCGAUCAACGCCACGGCCGGGUAGCCAUGUCGGGACGGGAUAAACGCUGAAGGCAUCUAAGCGUGAAGCCCCCCUCAAGAUGAGAUAUCCCAUCGUAAGAGUAAGACCCCUUGAAGACGACGAGGUUGAUAGGGCAGGGGUGGAAGUGCUGUAAGGCAUGGAGCUGACUGCUACUAAUCGGUCGAGGGCUUGACCU